ACUAUUUUGACAGAAUAAUGUGUUAAAUUUAGAAUUUAAUUAAAUAUAAAUUAUAUUUAUAUAAGUAGUA
rnacentral:tRNA from 1 species